rnacentral:rRNA from 1 species
GUGCCAGCAGCCGCGGUAAUACGAACUGUGCGAACGUUAUUCGGAAUCACUGGGCUUAAAGGGUGCGUAGGCGGUUAUCUAAGUCAGGUGUGAAAUCUUCCGGCUCAACCGGAAAACUGCGCCUGAGACUGGAUGACUUGAGUGAGGUAGGGGUGUGUGGAACUUCCGGUGGAGCGGUGAAAUGUGUAGAGAUCGGAAGGAAUGCCAGCAGCGAAAGCGGCACACUGGGCCUUUUCUGACGCUGAGGCACGAAAGCUAGGGGAGUGAACGGGAUUAGAUACCCCGGUAAUCCUAGCCGUAAACACUGAACACUGGAGGACGGGGGCUUCGGCCUUCGUUCUCGUAGCGAAAGCGUUAAGUGUUCCGCCUGGGGAGUAUGGUCGCAAGGCUGAAAUUCAAAUGAAUUGACGG